rfam:Ictidomys tridecemlineatus contig006130, whole genome shotgun sequence.
GGAGGUAUGGCUUAGUGGUAAAGUGCUUGCCUAGCAUGUAUGAGGCCCUGGGUUCUAUCACCAGUACCCCCC